rnacentral:rRNA from 1 species
GAGUUUGAUCCUGGCUCAGGAUGAACGCUGGCGGCGUGCUUAACACAUGCAAGUCGAACGAUGAUCCGGUGCUUGCGCCGGGGAUUAGUGGCGAACGGGUGAGUAACACGUGAGUAACCUGCCCUUAACUCUGGGAUAAGCCUGGGAAACUGGGUCUAAUACCGGAUAUGACUCCUCAUCGCAUGGUGGGGGGUGGAAAGCUUUAUUGUGGUUUUGGAUGGACUCGCGGCCUAUCAGCUUGUUGGUGAGGUAAUGGCUCACCAAGGCGACGACGGGUAGCCGGCCUGAGAGGGCGACCGGCCACACUGGGACUGAGACACGGCCCAGACUCCUACGGGAGGCAGCAGUGGGGAAUAUUGCACAAUGGGCGCAAGCCUGAUGCAGCGACGCCGCGUGAGGGAUGACGGCCUUCGGGUUGUAAACCUCUUUCAGUAGGGAAGAAGCGAAAGUGACGGUACCUGCAGAAGAAGCGCCGGCUAACCACGUGCCAGCAGCCGCGGUAAUACGUAGGGCGCAAGCGUUAUCCGGAAUUAUUGGGCGUAAAGAGCUCGUAGGCGGUUUGUCGCGUCUGCCGUGAAAGUCCGGGGCUCAACUCCGGAUCUGCGGUGGGUACGGGCAGACUAGAGUGAUGUAGGGGAGACUGGAAUUCCUGGUGUAGCGGUGAAAUGCGCAGAUAUCAGGAGGAACACCGAUGGCGAAGGCAGGUCUCUGGGCAUUAACUGACGCUGAGGAGCGA